rnacentral:rRNA from 1 species
UGGGGAAUUUUGCGCAAUGGGGGAAACCCUGACGCAGCAACGCCGCGUGGGUGAUGAAGGCCCUUGGGUCGUAAAGCCCUGUCGGGUGGGAAGAAGCCCUCGGCGGUAAAUAAUCGCCGAGGAUGACGGUACCACUAGAGGAAGCACCGGCUAACUCUGUGCCAGCAGCCGCGGUAAUACAGAGGGUGCAAGCGUUGUUCGGAAUCACUGGGCGUAAAGCGCGUGUAGGCGGCUGGUUGUGUCGAAUGUGAAAGCCCUCGGCUUAACCGAGGAAGUGCGUUCGAAACUGACUAGCUUGAGUACCGGAGAGGAAGGUGGAAUUCCCGGUGUAGAGGUGAAAUUCGUAGAUAUCGGGAGGAACACCAGUGGCGAAAGCGACCUUCUGGACGGAUACUGACGCUGAGACGCGAAAGCGUGGGGAGCAAACAG